rnacentral:rRNA from 1 species
GAUGAACGCUGGCGGCGUGCCUAAUACAUGCAAGUCGAGCGAACGGACGCGACGCUUGCUUUUCUGAUGUUAGCGGCGGACGGGUGAGUAACACGUGGAUACCCUACCUAUAAGACUGGGAUAACUUCGGGAAACCGGCGCUAAUACCGGAUAAUAUUUUGAACCGCAUGGUUCAAAAGUGAAAGACGGUCUUGCUGUCACUUCUAGAUGGUUCCGCGCUGCAUUAGCUAGUUGGUACGGUCACGGCUUACCACGGCAACGAUGCAUAGCCGACCUGAGAGGGGGAUAGGCCACACGGGAACUGAGACACGGUCCAGACGCCUACGGGAGGCAGCAGUAGGGAAUCUGACGCAAUGGGCGGAAGCCUGACGGAGCAACGCCGCGUGAGUGAUGAAGGUCUUCGGAUCGUAAAACUCGGUUAUUAGGGAAAAACAUAUGUGGAAGGAACUGUGCACAGCGUGACGGUACCGAAUCAGAAAGCCACGGCUAACUACGUG